GGCUUCCGGCCCGCGCGGACCCUGCCGUGUGGACGCGUGUGGGCUGCGCCCGCCCCGGGCGCACUCCGGGCCCCAACGCCAGGCACAGGCCCGCUUGUGGCUGGGCACGCUCGUGUGCCCUUGGCGGCCCCGGGCGCUUCGGAGGGCCUGGCCAAAGCUCCCAGAAGAGCCCUUUGGAGGGACUGAACUUUGACCAGGGGCAGAGGGCAACGGAGGAAUCCAGGACCCGGGCAGUGUCCAGCCCGGGCCCCACCUUCCCUUCCCGGGCUGCGGCUCUCCUCACUCUCAGCCUCCUUGCUUUGCCCACGCUGCUGCCAUGGCCUAACUUCUUUUCACGUACAUUC
rnacentral:lncRNA from 1 species